rnacentral:pre_miRNA from 1 species
GUUGUUUAGAAAGUGAUACUAUUAUUUUGGUUCAAAAGUAAUUGCAGUUUUUCCCAUACUUUUUACGGCAAUAACAGCAAUUACUUUUGCACUAACCUAAUACGUUUAACCAUCAAACACAC